AGCAGACAGGACAAGCGGUUAAGUCGCGGGAUUCAUGCUCCUUGAGGAUUGGGUUCGACUCCCAAGUCUGCGACCA
rnacentral:tRNA from 1 species